UUCAAGAUGAUGAGGCCUUACGAGGUGAACCUAUGAUGUGCCUUACUCAUAUCAUGCAAUGCCUUCAAAGUUCUCUGAUUGUG